rnacentral:tmRNA from 2 species
GGGGAUGACAGGCUUUUGACAGGGCAGGUGUGCGAUGUUGUUGCACUCCGAGUUUCAGCAUGGAUGGACUCGUUAAAGAAGUCUAUGCAAAUCCUAGAUGCAGACGAUUAUUCGUAUGCAAUGGCUGCCUGAUUAGCAUAAGUUAAUUUAGACGCCAUCGUUCGGUAGGGGAGGCGCUUACUCCGAAGCUGCCGAAUGGCAUAACCCGCGCUUGAGCUUCAGCUCGCGCAAGUAAGCCUUAUCUGUUUGUGCCCGGAAAGGCAGGUAGAGUACUCAUUCGGGAUAGUGCGUCGAACUUUGUCGGUAAAGUCGUGGCGCGCGAAACUUCAACCACCGAAGAUGAGUGUGGUAGCAGCUUCAAGCAAUGUUCUGGACGCGGGUUCGAUUCCCGCCAUCUCCACCA